UUGGAGGGCAAGUCUGGUGCCAGCAGCCGCGGUAAUUCCAGCUCCAAUAGCGUAUAUUAAAGUUGUUGCAGUUAAAAAGCUCGUAGUUGAAUUUCGGGAUUCUUCCGUUGGUCAGGCUAACAAGUCUGUACUAGCGUGUAGAAUCUCUACCUUCUGGGGAACCAUCAUGUUAUUAAUUUAGCGUGGUGGGAAACCAGGACCUUUACCUUGAAAAAAUUAGAGUGUUCAAAGCAGGCUUACGUCUGAAUACAUUAGCAUGGAAUAAUAAAAUAGGACGGUGGUCCUGUUUUGUUGGUUUCUGAAUCACCGUAAUGAUUAAUAGGGAUAGUUGGGGGCAUUAGUAUUCAAUUGUCAGAGGUGAAAUUCUUGGAUUUAUUGAAGACUAACUUCUGCGAAAGCAUUUGCCAAGGAUGUUUUCAUUAAUCAAGAACGAAAGUUAGGGGAUCGAAGACGAUCAGAUACCGUCGUAGUCUUAACCAUAAACUAUGCCGACUAGGGAUCGGACGAUGUUAAAUUUUAUUGACUCGUUCGGCGCCUUACGGGAAACCAAAGUGUUUGGGUUC
rnacentral:rRNA from 1 species